rnacentral:rRNA from 1 species
CCCUUAGAUGUUCUGGGCCGCACGCGCGCUACACUGAUGCAUUCAACGAGCCUAUCCUUGACCGACAGGUCCGGGUAAUCUUUGAAUCUGCAUCGUGACGGGGAUAGAUUAUUGCAAUUAUUAAUCUUCAACGAGGAGUGCCUAGUAGGCACAAGUCAUCAGCUUGCGUCGAUUACGUCCCUGCCCUUUGUACACACCGCCCGUCGCUCCUACCGAUUGGGUGUGCUGGUGAAAUGUUCGGAUCGGCCGUUUGUCGCGGUUUCCGCGUUAUGUGGCUGAGAAGUUCAUUAAACCCUCCCACCUAGAGGAAGGAGAAGUCGUAACA